UCUCUGAUUCUCUUUAAGUCUCUCCGAUUGCUCCCAUCCCUCUUCAUGUGAGUGACACAGAGACACAGAUCGGGGAGCUACUAUUCACCUUUGACCGGCGGCGACCGCCACCGAUGACCACAAAUCUUGACGCUGGCCGGAAACUUCCUAUGGAGCUUCGAUCUCUGGCCAUGGCCCUGCUCCUUGCGUUCCUCCUCCUGUCCCAAGUCGCCUCCGUGGCCGUGUCCUUCACUUCUCCGUCCCCCUCUCCGUCGCCGGCUCCUGCCUCGCACCGUACGCUGCCUAAGCAGUUGGACCGGGACCUCGACGGCGUGCCGCGCCGGCCCCCGGGGAUUCCCUCCCUGCGCGCGCCGCCUGAUCUGAUGAAGCACGGACACCACCAAGGCAGAAACCCGGUGCCGGCGAGCACUGGGAAGCCGAAGCUUAAUUAUGGGGAAAAGAUCGGGCUGGCGUUUGCUGGCGUCGCCGCCGGGUUGCAGGUGGCGCUGGGGGGUGUCCUCGUUCUCAAAAGAUGGCAGUUGAAGAAAGUGGAGCGCGAUGAUCGAGGAACGGCAGUCUCUUCCUCCAACCCUCCUCCUUGAUUCGCCUACCUCUUCAAAAUGAUGAUCUUUUCCCUCCCCAAAUGAAAAAGGUUAAAUCGAAGCUUUUCCCGUUUAAUGUGCAAUGGACGAAAUCUGGAUUGUUAAGUGGGUACAAGGCAGAAUGCGGAUGUUGCUUACUCGAAGAUGACUGAGCAUUCCAUGAUCCGUGGAUGGAUCCGAUCAAACCUCAUCCUGUACAAAUAGGCAGCUUGUCCAGACCUGCAUUUAUAGGGCACAAAAAUCACUCGCCGGUGGUGAUGUUUGUCUAUGACUGGCUACUUAAAAGUCUAUUAUUAUGCAAAUGUCCAGCAAGCAAACAGGGCCUUUGACUCCAACAUGCAAGGAAGAAGAACUGCCUUUCCGGGAAAGGGAAAGGGGUUGAUGAGGCUGACCAAGCAUAGGUUCUGGGCAGUCGAAUAUAAUUGCUGGGCGACUCAAGGCAAAAAUUGGGGCUUCGAUGGGCUUGUGACCAAGGAUCAGCAGCCAAUAUGCACCAAUUGCAGGUUGAUAUCUUUGUGAAUGCUUAUUGUAGUUUGUAUAGAAUUUGAUCAAGUUUUGUCAACAUUUGACAAGUUAAUUGGAUAAACUUAAUUAAAAUUGUGAUAAGACUUAUCCGGCUCGAUUUUUCUAUUUUGAAUUAGUCUUAACUUAUCUGAAACUCAUGAAAGGGGAUUCUUAAACAACUGUAAAGCAGGGAAAUUUUCUUGAAGAGGAGGUAAGCACAUGCCUUUAACUUUAUUCAAGAAGUAUUACCAAGUGGCAACAUCUUAUACCAUGUGGAGUUUUAGGGUGGAACAUUACUUUGACUGCAUCAAGACCCUUGAAAAAAAAAAAUUUCACUCGACCAGGUACCGGAAUGGAAUAUCAGAUAGCUUUUGAAAAAUUAAAUAAUAUGCUUGUACAAAUUCCUCAAGAAUCCCUAUUUGGAAUUUUUGUAGGUUGUAAGCCUUACCCAUAAACUGAAGUACCAUGUGAUAAUCCAGUGUCUCUUCAAAGCUUUCUUGUAAGCUAAUGUUGCUAAGAAAAAUUCCAAUAAUGAUGAUUGCUGAGAUAAUUAAUCCCUAGGCUUAACAUUUUUGAACUCAGGUUGGUUAGGAAUCUCGGAGCUUCAAAUGUCUUGAAUAUUUCCCAAAUCCCUACUAAAACUUCAAACUUGCAUCAUGAGACUAGUUGAGAUGAUUUAUGUAUAAGUUGUCUAACAAAAAUAUUUGUAGCCAGUUAUUCUCAGCCUUUACAAAAUUGUUUUGUGCCUAUAUUGUCUAUAUAUCUCAUAUCUAAGGAUUGAGGAAUGGCAUUGGCACAAGAAAUUGUAAUGAUUCUAACAUUAUUUUCGAAGAUUCUAAACCUCUCCUUUGAUGCUUUUAACAAUGCAUGUGUCCACCUCUCUUAUUGCUGAAGCUCUUUGGGUAAUCGACUCGGAAAAAAAUCUCUUUGGUGUCCUCUUAGGAUGUCCAAACCCUACUUUUUAUCUUAGAGGAAGCUUUGGGAGUGGAAAGUGAAGGAUUAAAAUUGAUGUUAUGGUAUAUAAAUGAGUUUUUCAAUUGAAAAGUGAAAAAGAAGGGAUGCCUAGCAAUUUGCUUUUCAGUGGGUUCCUUUUAAGUUGAAUUUUAUGAUUGUAGAGGACGUUUCUUUUUUUAACACGUGACAAACUAAAGGUCGGUUUAUAGUUGUACGUGCCUCACUUAAGUAAACCUCUUGGAUUGUAUGGUCAAUAAGAUAAAAAAAGCUGAUACAUGGUUUGAUUUAUUUGAUUUGUAAAAAAUCCAGAGAUCCUUUUAGAUAUUGAUUUUAAUAUGAUAUCUGGAUCAAUAAGUCUUAUUUUGAUCAUUGUGCCUUGGGCGAUCCUGGUAACAUUAGAUAUAUUGAUAUGUCUAGAGGUCAGUCCAUUUGAGAUUGCAUUGAGACUAUACUUAUAGAUCAAAAUCAUAGCAUCUCCCACCAAAGGUGACUAUGAUAUCAUGGCCAAACUAGUUCAAAAGUGUACUUUGGUAGUCAUACCUUCGAAUGAUACCGCCCGUACUGGGCGGUAUCAACCUGGCUGCGACGAGAGAAGAAAAAGCGUUAAGGGAGAAGAGGGAGAAGGCGCUCGAAGAAGAGGGAGAAUCGGGAGAACCUCGAUGCUUUCCGAUCCGACGCCGCCCUCCCUUGACGAUCCUGGUCCAGGAGGUAACGGAGAGACGACGACUCGACUUCUUCUUCGCCGAAGGCCAAAGAUGUCUGCGGCCUUCGACGUCUUCGCCGAACACCGCAAAUGAGGAGAAGACCGCACUCUUCUCCUCGUCUAACACGAUAAGGAGAAGAAAAGGAGGCGAUGUUGUUGAGGCAACGUACGCCUCCUUUUUUUAUAUUUAUUAUAUUAUAUAUAUGUGUGUGUGUUUUAUAUUUAUUAUAUUAUAUGUGUGUGUGUGUCUUCGUCGAAGAUGUCUGCGACCUUCGACGUCUUCGCCGAACGCCGCAAAUGAGGAGAAGACCGUGUUCUUCUCCUUGUCUGACAUGAUGAGGAGAAGAAAAGGAGGCGAUGUUGUUGAGGCAACGUACGCCUCCUUUUUUUAUAUUUAUUAUAUUAUAUAUAUAUGUGUGUGUGUGUUUUAUAUUUAUUAUAUUAUAUAUGUGUGUGUGUGUAGCAGUACACGCUAGCAUACCACUCCGUAUGCUCGUACCGUACCGUACCGAGCAAAGCUCGAUACGUUGGUCGAUACGAAAUUACAAACCUUGAGUCAUACUCCUUUGCUAAUUGUUUGAAUUGGGGACAAGGCUGGUGAUUAUUUUUCAGAGGCAUAAAUUGAUUAAUUGUUCUGAUUUUAUUCCUUUCCUUGAUCUGAAGCGUGCAUAGUAUGUUUUGAUACUUAGCCCAUCCCAUUCUAGAUGUUCCCUUUGACUUGUCCUCUGCAGAGAAAUUCUUUUUCAUCUGUUAUUAGGUGGUGCUAUGGAAAGCUAUUACAAGAAGCUUUGGGUGCUAUAUACUUGAUAUAAGAACACAGCUGGUUUGAAAUCUCAAAAAUCAGCAACUUCCAACUUUCCUUCAUGAUCUAUAUUUUUGUCCUGUUUUAAAUUUUGUGACUCGGAGGUGAAGCCUGAGGAUAAACAUAAAUUUGCACUUGCAGAGGGCUCCAGGUUGAAGAUGAGGAUCCUGAUUCUUGCCUUUUAAGAACAGUAUUUUUAUAAUUAGUUUAAUGCUUUUAUUACUUUUAGUUUUUCCAACAGUGCAUCGCAUGAUUUUCUGUUUUAUUUUUGGUAAUUCCUUUGGAAGGUCAAAUAAGUAAUGUUUUGAGUACAAAUUUUGUGAUAUGUUGGGUCCAGUAAGAGCCUUCAUUGGCAAGUCAUUUUCCUGUUAGUUCAAACUCAGUUUAGGCUCCAUCCUAUGAAAAAGUCAGGGCAGUUAUAUUUUUCAGUUAUGAUUGUCUGUUGAACAAUAAGACAUUUGUCAGAAUUUUAAUUUGAAAAUGAAGUUGGCUAGUAGUGAUAGGAAGCUACAUGACGAAUUGAUAUUUUGCUUAUUUAGAAGUUUGAAUUCUAGUGUGAUUUGGAAGUUGGUACAAGGUUUUAUUUGUUAGGUAUGUCUUCGAAAUAAGAUAUAUGUUAUCUUUCAAAAUUAUUUGUGUUUCUAAUCUUUGUUUUCCUGCUGCUUCUGUCUCUCUUUCUCUCUUUAUUUUCUUCUUCCUUUGCUGUAAUAGCAAAGCUGCUGGUUUACCUCUCUUGGUAGUGAUUUUGUUUUUAUCCGCUAGAGCUGUUGCUAUCUUUUAAUUUGUAGCUUGAGAACAGCCAGAUCUGAUCCGGAUAAUUUUAUAUCUGUCACCUCUAGCAUAUUUGUUUACACUGUACUCAUAUGGGCAUAUGUAAAAUGUGCUCCAUCAAUGCAGCAUCACUCUCUUUCCCUGUAUGUCUUUCCUGUUAAAACUUUCGUAGCUGCAAAAGUAUCAAGAGUCUUCAAAACAUUUUUGUAUGAAUUGACAGUUGAUAGUGCUUUAUAACAUGAUUACAUUUGGAAUAAAUACUUCUUAAGGCAACUAAGUACUGUGCUUCUUGGAGCAUGAUGUUGGACAAAAAAUAUUUGAGCACUUGGUUCAGCAAAUAGAAGGGUGUCUCCAUGGGGAUUUCUUGGUCUUUUGAAGUGACUAAAGUGUCAUGAUAUCACUAUAGAUAUGGCAACUUCUAAAGGUUUCCUAAUUUUACAUGCUUAAGGUAGACUGAAUAUAGAGAUUAUCCUUUGAGUUAAAGAGAAUGAUAAAUAAAAAUUAAAAGGGCACUUCAGGAAGUCUAUUUAGAAGCUGAGUGCUGGAUGCUACUAAGCAAUUUUGGUGAACCAUGCUCGAUACAGUGCAGUAAUGAAGAUCUGUGUUUAUGAUUCACUUGGCAGAAAAGGGUCUUUGUUGGUUGAGAUUCAUGAUUGUUUAGAUCUUUUCAUUUGUUCCAUCUUUUUUGCUUUACUGUCUUAUUGCUAAUUAUUGUGUAUAAGAUGCAUUUUAAGCCAUUAGGUGUGGUUUAAGAGGUCAUGGAGCUAACUGUUGGAGAUACUAUUGCUUUACUCCAUUAGCUUGAAUUUCCAGUGGUGACAAGGAAAUUGAACAACCAAGUUCAUAUGUGGUGAGUCACACAGAUACACAUCUCCAUGAAGGGUUCCAAUGGCUUGGAUCUGCCACCAGUAAUCAGGACACGCAUAUGAACUGUGGUCCAAAUUGCAGUCCAAGUGCAGUAAGAAUCAUGUCAGAGCUAUAGCAGCAGUCUUUACAAAUCUGUGUUCUUGUUGGGACCGCUGUAAUGGUAAAAGGGACCAAGCCUGAGCUGGACAUUGGAAGCAUCCAAAUGUUGCUGAGUGGCCACUGGGUGCAGUUUUAGCUGCUAGUGAAGAACAUUAGGUGUAUCCAUCUCUGGGUUACAUUUUCCCCUGGUACUCUCUGUUUUGAUCAGUUCCAGCUUGUCUUUAUUUAUUUGAGGUGGAACUACAGAAGUAAUAUGUAGGAUCAUUUGCACAACUGAGCAUAAACCCAAGAAAAUAAUAACAUAUACUAUGAAAACUACUUACAAACCAACAGUGAUCAUUGACAGCUUUAGAUAUGUAUGAAUAGAUGCUUAAGUUAAUACCUACUCAGGUCUGCCAAUUCAAUAUCUGGGAUGAAAGGAGUGGGAGAAGGGAUUCUUUGAGGCUUUAGAUCUCAUUUUCCUUUUAAGCUUUUGGUUACAAGACAAAGCAAUUGUUGGAUAUGAAAGAAAGACUCUGAAUAUGCCCUUCUCCAGACUUACAUUGGCCAAAAUUAUAUGUUAUGGUGAUCAAUGUUAAUUUUUAAGAUUUUGUUUCAUUAUGAUUCAUUGAUUCUUUGCAUCUUUUAUGAUUUACUAGCAUUUAGACCACAGGAUUGAUCUGUCAUAUUAAGAUUGUGGAAUCACAUGGUUUAACAAUCUUUGUAUCUGUUGUUACUUUGAAAUAGCAAUAUCACUGUGUUAUUACUUGGUAAUAGUAACAAUUAGUCUAAACAAUGGGUAUCACUGUGUUAUUACCUUGAAAUAGCAAUAUCAUUGUAUUCUGCUGUCAAGUGAUUGCAGCUGCUAUAGGUCUAGUACAUAAAGGUCUAGACACUGGUGACCAAGCUGGUAUCAGUCAGUCUACACUGUCUAGAAUUUAAAUGCUGAAACCAGAAACAUCUGUAGUGUUGUAACUUUUAUGGUAGUUGUCCAGUAUAAAGUUCUCAAAAAUAUUCCACUCUGGAUGCCAUAUUGAGCAAGACAACACCAUAUACAAUGAACUUUUGCAUGUCACAUCAGCACACCAGUCAUCUCCUACUUUUCUAAUUAUUACUGACUGAUGUGAAUUUUAUCAGCCUAAGUGCUUAGUCUUGGCAUGGUGUAAUAGAUCUUGCUCACCAAGAAUUACUUGUAAAGCUGCUUGUGGAAAAAAAAAUAAA